rnacentral:rRNA from 1 species
UCGUAACAAGGUUUCCGUAGGUGAACCUGCGGAAGGAUCAUUACCUAGAGUUGUAGGCUUUGCCUGCUAUCUCUUACCCAUGUCUUUUGAGUACUUACGUUUCCUCGGCGGGUCCGCCCGCCGACUGGACAAUUUAAACCCUUUGCAGUUGCAAUCAGCGUCUGAAAAAACUUAAUAGUUACAACUUUCAACAACGGAUCUCUUGGUUCUGGCAUCGAUGAAGAACGCAGCGAAAUGCGAUAAGUAGUGUGAAUUGCAGAAUUCAGUGAAUCAUCGAAUCUUUGAACGCACAUUGCGCCCCUUGGUAUUCCAUGGGGCAUGCCUGUUCGAGCGUCAUUUGUACCUUCAAGCUCUGCUUGGUGUUGGGUGUUUGUCUCGCCUCUGCGUGUAGACUCGCCUUAAAACAAUUGGCAGCCGGCGUAUUGAUUUCGGAGCGCAGUACAUCUCGCGCUUUGCACUCAUAACGACGACGUCCAAAAGUACAUUUUUACACUCUUGACCUCGGAUCAGGUAGGGAUACCCGCUGAACUUAAGCAUAUCAAUAA